rnacentral:rRNA from 1 species
ACGCACGCUGGCGGCGUGCUUAACCCAUGCAAGUCGAACGGAAAGGCCCCUUCGGGGGUACUCGAGUGGCGAACGGGUGAGUAACACGUGAGUAACCUGCCCUUGACUUCGGGAUAACUUCAGGAAACUGGGGCUAAUACCGGAUAGGAAUCCUUGCUGCAUGGUGGGGGUUGGAAAGCUUCGGCGGUUUUGGAUGGACUCGCGGCUUAUCAGCUUGUUGGUGGGGUAGUGGCUUACCAAGGCUUUGACGGGUAGCCGGCCUGAGAGGGCGACCGGCCACAUUGGGACUGAGAUACGGCCCAGACUCCUACGGGAGGCAGCAGUGGGGAAUAUUGCACAAUGGGCGGAAGCCUGAUGCAGCAACGCCGCGUGCGGGAUGACGGCCUUCGGGUUGUAAACCGCUUUCAGCAGGGGCGAAGCUUGUGGUGACGGUACCUGCAGAAGAAGCACCGGCUAACUACGUG